CACCCUGACUAUGACAGAAUGACAGAGGGCC
rnacentral:piRNA from 1 species